rnacentral:lncRNA from 1 species
AGUAUUUUAUGACCGUGAUUGCAAUCCAAAUUUGCAUUUGAGCUCAGCAGUCGAGUGUGGUGCCAAAAAUACCAGAAGCGAUGUCCUAUAUACGGCCUUGACCAGAAGUGUUGCAUGCCCUGGAUGCAGAAAAACAAGAUUGAGAUGAGUGGAUCAAGAUGUAUCUUUCGUGCAGAUGUAUCAAGAUCCUUUCACUUAAGAUCCAUGCAGGCGCAAGCUUUGGAUGAACUUCUGCUUCUGCGGUCGGCAUUCUUACAGGAGAACCCAAGAUUCAUUGUACCUACCUGUAUGCAUUUCAAAACUGAAUAAUUGAUAGCAACAAGUAAAUAUUUGAAGUUGCAGCCAAAUGCUGUGCCUUCUCUGCUGCAAGAGCUACAUGUCACCAUUGAAGCAAGGACCAGCUCGACUCCUGCAGUAGGAGUCCAGCCUCGUCCAGUCGUCGCCGCUCGCCAAGACCAGCCGGACUCCUGCAAUAGGGGUCCAGGCUGACCCGUUCGUCCAGUAACCGCCGCUCGUCAGCACCAGCUGGGCUCCUGUAGUAUGGGUCCAGCCUCGUCCAGUCGCCGCCGCUCGCCAAGACCAGCUGGGCUCCUGUAGUAUGGGGCUAGGAUGGCCCGUUCAUCAACCGGUCCUGAAGUCACAUCGCCGUCAGCCAGCCGAACUCAGUACAUAAGUCACCAACCCUGAAUGUUGCCAGCCAAAGUCGGCAGUUUCCUUCGGACAGUCAUCUCACCAGUGUUGUACAGUGUACGAGGUUAGUGACGCAGUUAAAUGCGUCAAUUAAAUGCGAGGACGUGCGCUUGUAUGCAGCGUUUUGUCAUGUUGAGCUGCAUGGGUGUCGAUUUUCACCGAAUUGAGGGUGCCCACUGCCCGGGCGCAGCAAAUCCGCCGCUGCCUUAGCGGUGACCUUGACCCGCACCGUCUGUUGGGGCUCCAAAGCCAAGCCAGCCGAGCCGGCGGGGAAUCUAAAGAGCUUGAGCACCCCCAACCCGGCGGAAAUUGACACCUAUGUUGAGCUGUAUGGAUGCGUUUUAGCCUUCCGCCGUGGUGGUAAAUAGCAGCCUACAUGCAGAAUUAGGCAGGCUUAUUAGCGGACUCAUUAUUGGAUUCAUUGUGUCACGUUUGUCGGCACGCGUAAGAUGUGCUUAACUGCCAUUAGCUCUCGGCCUGGCGACUUCUGGGGACCACGUAAUGGGGAUGACAAUUGGGAUCCUGUGCCUUAAGCCGGCCAUUUACGUCCAUGGCUAUAUACCCCCGUACUAGGGCUAGUUAUGACGUAUAUAGGGAUCCACGAGAUCUUUUUUGAUGAAUGUGUUGUGCAGUGUUGAGAUCCGCGUGUAACGUCACUGUUUGGCCAGUCUGCCCUCAAACGCGUCAUCUUUACUCGUAUUUUAUUUACUGAACGCUUUGCAUGGUCCAGUGGUUUAUAUAGACAUCUUCCUUGCACUAGCUAGUUUUAUGUGGCCAGGUUGAUUGCCUGUCAGCGCGGUCACGCUGUCGUCUUUCGAUUGGUGCGCUUAAAUGCGGCGAGAUGAAUAAAGGAUUUCCUUUGAUGCUAUUUAGUACCUGCGCCCAGCUCAACUGGGGAAGGGGGGGGGGGCACUGCCGACUUUUGGUCCCAUUCUUUCCAUGUAACGCCCAUAGAGCCCAUUGUUAAAAUGCCAAAAUCAAAGGGGGGCACGGUGCCCCGGUGCCCUCCCCGUUCCGCCGCCUAUGCGCGAAAGUACCAACUACCAACAGUUUCCAGUUGUUUGUGUCCCAAAGUUUUUUAUGAGUUGGACGAUUGGGCUUUUCCCAUCGCUCGUUAUGCAAUUAUUUUGUUAAACGCUCUAAAAUUGUUUCUCUACAAGUCAUUAGAACUUAGAAGCAAAUAGAUAUUGAUGGAUACGAUCUCAAGGGGGCCGAUAAGAAGGGAGAGCGCGCGGCGCAAUGAUUGUGGAGCACAGCACACGAUUAAUGUGAGGCGCAUUUAAGCGAGAAAUAACUUCAUUGAACAGAAAUGAGCAGAGUACCAGCAUUGAAACUGCACCAGUACCAGCAUUGAAACUAAAUAUAAGAUAUCUCA